rnacentral:lncRNA from 1 species
UGUAGGUACACCUUGGAUGCCGGAAGACGAUCAAGCUCAGCGAAGAACCGAACACGAUAAUGAUACACGCUUCCGCAUUUUGCUACGUUGUAAUUUUUAAACAACGAAUUCGAUCACGUUAUGUAGAAUAACUUAUGAUUUAUUAAAAGUUUUAAUAAACCCGUAUUUCCAAAUGUUUAUGUAAUCUUAAUUACAUGAUUGUUUUACGUAAAAUUUACGUUAAACCUUGAAAUAAAAGACCGGGUGUUACAAGUUGGUAUCAGAGCCUUGGUUUAAGAGAUUCGAGUAUGGUGGGGAGGAACCAUGCUUGGACUUAAACCUUAUGCUCUUGACAAAGAAUAGUGUUCGGUUCGAGGCUUGAUCGCAAAUCCGGUAAGUACAGGUACGUGAAUAGUUAGUAUGCUAAAGUGUUGUAAACAACACAUAGGGCUAUCGUGUGAUACGCGUUACCCCAAUUAAAAUGAUUGAAAUAGUUGACGAAAAUACGCGCGUUGACGCGUAUAGUAGAAAAAGCCUUGACACUCGCGUUUGAAGACGACGAGAGUCAAACGAAUUGUGGAUAUGAUGAUGGAACGGUCCGAAGUAUGACAAGUGGAGCAUACUCACCGAGGACUAAAUCGCGUAAUGACCGCGAACAAAGUUAAUGGCAAAGAACGCCCGUCGGGGAAAACAGUAC